ACCUCGCGUCCCGCUAUCCCCGCGCACGCCGCCUCCGGCCCUGAGUCCCGGCCGCACCCGGCGCCGCUCACCUGCUUCUGGAUGUCCCGCACGCGCUGCUCGUGCAGGCGCGGAGCGCUGCUGAGCUUGAACACCACCCAGGCGCGCACGUAGUAGUAGAUAUCGAAGAUAAGCGAGAGCGGCAGGAGGAAGAGGCACACGAACACCCAGCGCUGGUGGAUGAGCACGAACUCCAGCCCCUUCAGGCGCACCCACAGCAGGAAGAGCAGCGCGCACACGGCCAGCGACACGGCGGGCUCCAUGGUGCGGCGCCGCGCGGGCUUGUUUACUAAGUAAACAAGAAGAGGGCCUGGGAGGAGAGUCUGAUGAGCAAGGGGAAGGUAGCCAAGGAUGGAGUGAAAUACAAGAGCAUAAACUCAGAGGACGCAGCUACUUCUCUCCAUGAAUAGGCUGUCUCCCAGGCACAGAAUUCCAGGAACCAGCAGGGCCUUUCAAGGUUGGUUUCAAGGGAAGAGUGUGUCCCUUGCAGGGUGGCUGGAGCCAGCUCCAAGAGCCUGAAAAAUCAUCUUGGCACCAAGUCUGAUGCAACUCUGGACCCAACAGGAAUCUUGGAGGAUUUGCCACAACCUUAGUCAUUCACCUUCAAAUCAUCCACACUGAUUCAGCCUCUCCUUCACUGAACAAGUAUUUAUUGAGCACCUACUAUGUGUAACCUUCUAGGCAAUAUAACUUUUUGGAUACAGCAGAUUAAACAAAGAUCACUGCAAUCACUAAAUGAAUAUCUUGAGAGGUGGAUUGUAAAAGAGACUUCUGUACUAUUUUAUGUGUACAUAGAAUCAAGUGGGUAUAGAACUUUGGUGUUGGAUGGACCUGAGUUUAAACACACUCUGUUCUGUGAUCUUGGUUAUUUGAAUUUCUCUGAGCCUCAGUUUCCUCAAUCCUUAGGUGGAAAUAAAAAUUCCUACCUUAUCCAGAAUCAGUUAAAUAUAGAGUUAGCCAUAUGACCAGCAAGUUCAUGCCUAAAUUACAUAACUGAGGGAAAUAAAAACAUAUUUUUUAUCUUUCACACAAAAACUAGUAUCUGAAUGUUCACAGCUGCAGUAUCCAUAAUAGCCAAAAAGUAGAAACAACUAAAAUGUCUGUCAACCAAACAGUAAGUAAACAAAAUGUUUUAUAUCAUACAAUGGAAUAUUACUCAGCAAUAAAAAGGAAUGAACUGAUACAUGCUUCAACAUGGAGGAACCUUGAAAACAUUAUGCCACAUGAAAGAAGCCAGAUCUCAUAUUGUAUGUUUCCAUUUAUGUGAAACGUUUAGAAUAGGCAAAUCCAUAGAGACAGAAAGUAGAUGAGUCGUUGCCUCAGGCUGGGGGAAAUGAGGAAUUAGGGUGUGAUAGUUAAGAGGUGUGAGAUUUCUUUUCAGGGUGAUGGAAAUGUUUUAAAAUUGAUGAUGAUGGAUGCACAACUCUGUGAAUAUACUGAAAGCUACCGAAUUGUACACUUUAAAUGAGUGAGUUUUACAGUAUAUAAAUUAUAUAUCAUAAAGUUGUAAAAAGAAAAAAAUCUUACCACGUAGGGCUCUUUCAGGAUUAAAUGAGCUAAGAAUACAAUG
ensembl:lncRNA DHCR24-DT DHCR24 divergent transcript